GAUGAAGAACGUAGCGAAAUGCGAUAAGUAAUGCGAAUUGCAGAAUUCCAGUGAGUCAUCGAAUCUUUGAACGCACAUUGCGCCCGCCAGCAUUCUGGCGGGCAUGCCUGUUCGAGCGUCAUUUCAACCCUCGACCUCCCUUUGGGGAAGUCGGCGUUGGGGACCGGCAGCACACCGCCGGCCCUGAAAUGGAGUGGCGGCCCGUCCGCGGCGACCUCUGCGUAGUAAACCAACUCGCACCGGAACCCCGACGUGGCCACGCCGUAAAACACCCAACUUCUGAACGUUGACCUCGAAUCAGGUAGGACUACCCGCUGAACUUAAGCAUAUCAAUAAGCGGAGGA
rnacentral:misc_RNA from 1 species